rnacentral:rRNA from 1 species
AUACGGAGGGUGCAAGCGUUACUCGGAAUCACUGGGCGUACAGCGCGCGCAGGCGGGCUGAUAAGUUGGAUGUGAAAGCCCACGGCUCAACCGUAGAACUGCAUCCAAAACUGUCAGUCUAGAGUGUGGGAGAGGAAGAUGGAAUUAGUUGUGUAGGGGUAAAAUCCGUAGAGAUAACUAGGAAUACCAAAAGCGAAGGCAAUCUUCUGGAACACUACUGACGCUGAGGCGCGAAGGCGUGGGGAGCAAACAGGAUUAGAAACCCCAGUAGUCC